UGCCUCUAGACUGUGCUCCACAAACAGGAUAAGCCAUUCUAAAUGUCACACUCUGAACUUCACCCACAAACAGUGAAUGUCUUACCUCUCUGUACUCUGUUCUAGCUUUUGCCAGGAAUGAUUCUGGUCUAUACUACUGUGCCAGCAGGAAUUCAUACUUUGACUCCUUUGUAUUCGGAAAUGGAUCACAAGCGCUCAUAAUAGGCAACUGGAACACCAGUGAAAAAUCAGCAGAAUUUCAACAACAUGUUCCAAAGAAAGAGACUCUCUAUGCUCACUUGGCCUUGACUGAAGAUCCAAUACUUUGAUGUGCCCAGCAUUACUGAAUUAAAGAACAUGCCCAAUGAUUUCUAUCAUUGCGAAGUCAGUUAGAAACAGUAAUAAUUGAAGGUGCUCUUCCUUGAAUCUGUGCUGUGUCUGUAUAUCAAAAUCCAUUUGUAUGGAAAUGGAAUGUUAAUUUAGAAGAGCGACUGAUGCUGCCUCAGAUAAAGAUUUUAUUACCUCUGCCCAAUAUAAUACCCAAUUAUCAUCAAUGAUUUACCACUCUGAAGUAGGAAUGGCUGAAAUAGAAAGGAUUCAACCACUACUGAGGGCUGUUUUGUUUUGUGCUAUUAUUCUUUUUUCAAUUUUGCAGACAAGGCCAUUACUUACUAAGUAUCCUAAGUACUUAUUCAGAAAGUGAGUCCAAGUUUCCUAUGUAUGCGCUGUAGAUUUUGCAGAGAAGGUAUUGUCAAAGUGCCAUUAAAGAGUAUGUUGAAUGCAUUGAAUAUUAAGUUGAUGGUAGUGGGAAGAAUAACAGUAUAUUUCCAAAUUAAUGCAGUCGGUAAUUUGGACUGGACUGCUUAAUUUCUUGUGCUGAUAGAGCCUGCUAACGUUUAUUCUGCUUGUGGGUAGUAACUGCAAUUUUGGACAUUUCUUUGAAAUUAUCUUGGCAAUAUUCUUCUGUGCAUGCCUUAGAUAUACUCCUGCCUUUAUCAUGGUGAUGGAGA